AGUGAACGCUGGCGGUAGGCCUAACACAUGCAAGUCGAACGGCAGCACAGUAAGAGCUUGCUCUUACGGGUGGCGAGUGGCGGACGGGUGAGGAAUACAUCGGAAUCUACUUUUUCGUGGGGGAUAACGUAGGGAAACUUACGCUAAUACCGCAUACGACCUACGGGUGAAAGCAGGGGAUCUUCGGACCUUGCGCGAUUGAAUGAGCCGAUGUCGGAUUAGCUAGUUGGCGGGGUAAAGGCCCACCAAGGCGACGAUCCGUAGCUGGUCUGAGAGGAUGAUCACCCACACGUGAACCGAGACCCGGUCCAGACCCCUACGGGAGGCAGAAGUGGGGAAUAUUGGAAAAUGGGCGCAAGCCUGAUCCCGCCAUACCGGGUGGGUGAAGAAGGCCUUCGGGUUGUAAAGCCCUUUUGUUGGGAAAGAAAAGCAGCAGGUUAAUACCCCGCUGUUCUGACGGUACCCAAAGAAUAAGCCCCGGCUAACUUCGU
rnacentral:rRNA from 1 species